rnacentral:lncRNA from 1 species
GCUCCUGACCCUUUUGCCUCUGCCUUCCGCAUAAUGGGAUUGCAGGAGGAUACUAGGCCACUCGAUAUAUGUAGUGUUGGGAUUGGAACUCAGUCAGGCCUUUGUGCACAUUAGGGAAAUGCUCUACCAACUGGGUAUCUCCAGACCCAUUUUAGAUUUUGUUACAUUCUGUUACAUACAUAUACUCAUUUUAAGUCUUGAGAGUGGUGGUUUCUUGGCAGAACACCACAGAUCUUUCAUCAGUACAUUUAAGACAAGAUGCUUUAGACUCGGGAGUACGAUGGAAGACUAGACGCUGUGCCAGAGUGCGUGGGUGAUUAUACAGUUAAAGGAAAGAGAAGGACUAGGGCUGUUGUUACUGCUGGGCUAAGCUGCUCCUGCCCGGCUCCCUGAGUCACACCAGUGGUUGCUCUACAUGCCAGUCAUCGUUUCCACGCAUGGGCCUGGGUGCCCGCCACUGCUGCUCCAUUUAAUGCAGACUUUGGGCCAUGGCUGCCAUUGUGAAUCAGUCCCACAUGGCGCUGCCUGUGAAUUGCCUUCAAGGAACAGCAUCAUUAGUGAACUUCUGCUUCAAAACAACUCCUUGAGCCCCUAAUGCUGCUGCAGUGGCACUAUGCAGAUGAGUAUUAAUCUCCUCGACCGACUGAUGAGCUUCAUACAGGACAGGCCCCAGGAAUUUCAGAUAGAACUGGGUUGGUGAAAAGUACAGAGCGAGUCAGGAACAGACUCAGUACAAGAGGGUGAAUACCUGGAGCAUGGCCAGGAAACCUGAGAAAAUGACUCCAAGGGCAAGCCGUGCUGUGGAACCCAGCACACUACUGGCACGCAAAGGAAGAAGCAUCCCUCCAUGGUUUCUGUGCCAGGAAGAAGCAUCCCUCCAUGGUUUCUGUAUCGGUUCCUGCUUCUGGGUUCCUGACUUGAGUUCCUGCUCUGACAUCCCUGAAUGAUGAACUACAAGAUGGCAGAUCAUCAGCUUAUCUGACCCUCUGAAGAAUCCACAGUCUGAAGGCCUCCCAGGAAAUCUUCUACAUCCAGAGCAAUUGGUAAGAGACCCUCCCAAAUAACGGCAGCACCAGGGACACCCGAGGAGCCCAGGACUAGGGACCCAUCCCCACCACUCAAACUCUACCUCCCUUCUGACCUGCCCAUUCUGCUAGGGUAGAUCAUCAUUUGUUUGUCCCUUUGAAGACCUCAUAGUCUCCCAGGAGAUCUGCUGCACCCAGGGCAACAGAUCAUCAGUGUGCAUGCCCCUCUGAAGACCCUACAGUCUGAACGCCUCCCAGGAGAUCUGCUAUAGCCAGGGCUCCAGGUCUCCCAGGACACCUGAAGCAACCCAGGGAAACAGGAGGCAGGCUCCUGACAGAGACACCCAGGUCAUUUAACACCAGAGAUAACUAGGUGGUGAGAGGCAAGUGGAAAAAAUAUAACCAACAGAAACCAAUGUACUUUGGCACCAUCAGAAACUAGUUCUCUCACCACAGCAAGCCAUGGAUAACCCAACUCACCUGAAAACUAGGAUGCUAACCUAAAAUUGUAUCU